GACGAACGCUGGCGGCGUGCUUAACACAUGCAAGUCGAACGGAAAGGCCUGCUUUCCCUUGUGGAUUGCGGGUACUCGAGUGGCGAACGGGUGAGUAACACGUGAGUGAUCUGCCCCCAACUUGGAUAUAAGCCUGGGAAACUGGGUCUAAUUCCCGAUAGGACUGCAGGGUGGUGCCUGUGGUGGAAAACGAUUUUCUAGUGGUUGGGGAUGAGCUCGCGGCCUAUCAGCUUGUUGGUGGGGUAAUGGCCUACCAAGGCGGCGACGGGUAGCCGGCCUGAGAGGGUGGACGGCCACAUUGGGACUGAGAGACGGCCCAGACUCCUACGGGAGGCAGCAGUGGGGAAUAUUGCACAAUGGGCGGAAGCCUGAUGCAGCGACGCCGCGUGGGGGAUGACGGCCUUCGGGUUGUAAACUCCUUUCGACCGCGAGGAAGCCACCUGGUUGGAAGGGUGGUGACGGUAGUGGUAGAAGAAGCACCGGCUAACUACGUG
rnacentral:rRNA from 1 species